AUCAUCGCACAUGAUCUGGUAUUUCUUCAUGAUAUGUGAGCUUUAUUUGCUUCGGUAAAUAUGACUAGCAUAUUCAAAAUCAAUUUUUGGAGGUUUUUUCAAAUGCAAACGAACGGAACAGUAAAAUGGUUUAACGCAGAAAAAGGUUUCGGUUUCAUUCAAGUAGAAGGCGGAGACGAUGUAUUCGUACACUUCAGCGCAAUCCAAGGUGACGGUUUCAAAACUUUGGACGAAGGUCAAAAAGUUCAAUUCAACAUCGUUCAAGGCAACCGUGGCCCACAAGCUGAGAACGUAGUAAAACUGUAAGUCUCCUUUUCAAAGAAACUGUCCUUUCGAGGGCAGUUUCUUUU
rnacentral:other from 1 species